AUACGGAGGGUGCAAGCGUUACUCGGAAUCACUGGGCGUAAAGCGCGCGCAGGCUCUUUUAAGUUGGGUGUGAAAGCCUACGGCUCAACCGUAGAACUGCAUCCAAAACUAUUUGGCUAGAGUGUGGGAGAGGAAGAUGGAAUUAGUUGUGUAGGGGUAAAAUCCGUAGAGAUAACUAGGAAUACCAAAAGCGAAGGCAAUCUUCUGGAACAUUACUGACGCUGAGGCGCGAAAGCGUGGGGAGCAAACAGAAUUAGAAACCCCGGUAGUCC
rnacentral:rRNA from 1 species